UACAGCUCACUUGAGUAUUGUCGUUUUCUACAACACAAAUGCUGCCCAGAACAGCAGCAUCUAACGAGCUUCAGCGUUAGACAUUUGUGGUGGUCCCAGAAGAAGAUCUGGAAGGGAGCGCAGCCUUCCGAGCUGGAAAACCAAAGGACUGAAUACGCACUUUUCAGGCAGCUUCUGUGGUCUUCUAAAAGGGGAAUUAUUUUUAAACUUUGCCCAUUAGCAAGGGCAAAGGCCUUCUUAGGCCUCUCCUGGCUUGUUGGGUGCUUUCUAUGCUCUGGGUACAAUAGUCCCUACAGAUCUUGUGGCAUUACCGGAAUUCGCUUUACAAAGGGGAGAUUGUUAGGAAAUUUUCAAAAAGCCUGUAAAUCCCUGAAUCUUGUUCUCGGUUUGGUUGCUAUAUGUUUAAGUGAAAUGUCCAUGAGCUGCUGUACACAGAUCCAACUUGCACCUGUUCUGCAGCAUCAACAUUUCCAACAGGCAUUACAGCAAAGCUCAGAUCUCUGUGCUCCAGGAGCUGACAGGCUGUAUAACAUGGGGGUGUUGAGCAGAUCUCAUCUGGGCUGUGCUGGGAAAAACAGCCCCUAGCAUGAGCUAGACUGAAGCACGUCUCAGUGGCCUGAGAUGAGAUCAUGUGCUGUGCAGGCAGAAGAGGACUCUUGGUGUAAGAAGCUGUAACGAGAACACAGUCUGGCAUUGUUCUCGGACAGCUCGUGCACAGGAUGCAGGAGUGAGAUUCAUGUCUUUGCUCCUCAUUUUUAAAUGACAGUGAGCUGCUUAAGGUUAGAGAGUCACGACCCAGCAAGGUCAGAGGAAGGAGGUAGCAGCAGACAGAAGUGUGCAUUGUGUGCUGGCCCUGCCUGCCUUGCCCGAGCUGGGGAAGGGUAAACUCUGAACUGUGAAGCUCCACGACCUGGCAGACUAAGGUGACAAGAUGUGUCUUUAUUUGUAUGGGAACAAGAUAG